AAUGAAAAUUCAAGCUCGUGGAUCGUCUGCUGUUCCUGGCUUUCGUCAAUUUUCGCUUACCUUCAUCCUUCAUGACUGCACGUUAAAAUUUGGCAAUUCGGUUGCGUUUUCGCAUAUGUUUUUUUAAAAUCAACACAAGAAGCAUUAAACUGGAUUUGUUUGCCUGAUAAGAAAUUUUUUACACCAACUUCCUGCCUAUUGACAAAUUGUGAAGAAAGAGCUAAAAGAAAAGAAGGUAAUUCUGCCAGUUAUUAUAUAAAAAACAGGAAAAGAAAUCAUGUUUGGUUAAGUAAGGAGAUUUUCUACUGUGUCAUCCUCAUCGGAACAAAUUUCCUGUUGCAAUUGUAAUUCGGGGUUGUAACUAAGUAAUUGGAGCCUUGGAGGUGAUGAUGGCAAACUACAACCACUGAAUGUAUCAGGGAUCACCAAAGUGAAUCAUCAUUUGGUAUUGUUUGCUGUCAUUGACAUGGUCCCUUCCCCCACGAAAUGAACUUGGUGUUGACAUCACAUUAUACAACCCCUUCACCCUGGAUCAUCUGGAUGCCUAGAAAACUAGAUCGGUGUUACUAUAUGUAAUGACAGAGAGGAUGCAGCCUAGAUGAGCA